AUUAACCUGAAAUGUUCGAUAACUCUUGUUAUUUUGAACCUACAGAUACUUUAAACGGGAUUCCUAAAUUGCCUUAUGGCUGUCAAGCCCCCACUCGUAAGAGGAUUGGAGGGGAAGGCAAAAGUAAGGUUGCGGUCACCCACCUAGCUUUGCUAGGAGUCAAAGUACAAGAACCGGCAUUUUGGGGCUAGA
rnacentral:other from 1 species